GCAGUGAUGGCCGAGUGGUUAAGGCGUCUGACUAGAAAUCAGAUGGGAUCUUCCCGCGUAGGAUUUGAAUCCUACUCAUUGCG
rnacentral:tRNA from 1 species